rnacentral:rRNA from 1 species
AGGUGACCUGCGGAAGGAUCAUUAGAGAAUGUGGCACUGUCCCUGGGGGCCUCGGCUCCCUAAGUUGGCGGUGCCCCGGUGGUGGCGUCUGAGGUGGUUCCAGCCCGGUCCUGCGAUCGGAUGGGACUUUCUAUCGGCCCAAGCUGCACCCUAUGCAAACGUACCUUUGUUGCUUUGGCAGGAGCUGCCCAGCGUACGCUAGGCGGCUGCGGCUCACCCCGUAGCCCUGCCAGAGGACCCAACUCUUGAUUUUAGUGAUGUCUGAGUACUAUUAAAUAGUUAAAACUUUCAACAACGGAUCUCUUGGUUCUGGCAUCGAUGAAGAACGCAGCGAAAUGCGAUAAGUAAUGUGAAUUGCAGAAUUCAGUGAAUCAUCGAAUCUUUGAACGCACAUUGCGCCCGCUGGUAUUCCGGCGGGCAUGCCUGUUCGAGCGUCAUAAUGACCAACUCACGCUCCGCGUGGUCUUGGGGUCCGCUUCCGGGCGGCCCUUAAACGCAGUGGCGGUGCCGUGCGGCUCUCAGCGUAGUAAUUCUUCUCGCUACAGGGUCCGGACGUUGCUGGCCAGCAACCCCAACUACAUAAGGUUGACCUCGGAUCAGGUAGGGAUACCCGCUGAACUUAAGCAUAUCAAUAAGCGGAGGAAAAGAAACCAACAGGGAUUACCUCAGUAACGGCGAGUGAAGCGGUAACAGCUCAAAUUUGAAAUCUGGCUCUUUCAGGGUCCGAGUUGUAAUUUGUAGAAGAUGCUUCGGGUGUGGUCCCGGUCUAAGUUCCUUGGAACAGGACGUCAUAGAGGGUGAGAAUCCCGUAUGUGACUGGGUGCCUUCGCUCAUGUGAAGCUCUUUCGACGAGUCGAGUUGUUUGGGAAUGCAGCUCUAAAUGGGUGGUAUAUUUCAUCUAAAGCUAAAUAUUGGCCAGAGACCGAUAGCGCACAAGUAGAGUGAUCGAAAGAUGAAAAGCACUUUGGAAAGAGAGUUAAACAGUACGUGAAAUUGUUGAAAGGGAAGCGCUUGCAACCAGACUUGCCCGCCGUCGAUCAUCCGGGGUUCUCCCCGGUGCACUCGGCGGCGUUCAGGCCAGCAUCGGUUUCGGGGGUGGGAUAAAGGCCUUGGGAAUGUAGCUUCUUUCGGGGAGUGUUAUAGCCCUCGGUGCAAUGCCGCCUCUUGGGACCGAGGACCGCGCUCGGCU